GUGGCCUGUGUAAAGGGCUGAAUGGGUGGUUCUCUCCAGAGCCUGGUGAGGAGAAACCCAUGAAGGACCCUGUCUCCCAGACGGAGGAAAUCCGACAAGCAGUGGUGAGCAGUGGGGAGCAGGCCUGCGGGUGAGCGGAAAGCUUGGCAAGCUAUUCUCACACCAGUGUCUUCAUCGUUGGUAUGAUUUGGGCCCAGGAGGACUUAUGUUUUGGAGAAGGAACUUCAAACUGCCUUUUUUGGGACUGUUAUAACCCUGCACGUUGAUGACAGAUUUCCUGAGUGAUGGUAACCAGAUGGGUGUUGGAGUCAGCCUCUUAGCUCUGGC